rnacentral:rRNA from 1 species
UGGGGAAUAUUGCACAAUGGGCGCAAGCCUGAUGCAGCCAUGCCGCGUGUGUGAAGAAGGCCUUCGGGUUGUAAAGCACUUUCAGCGGGGAGGAAGGCGGUGAGUUUAAUAAGCUCACCGAUUGACGUUACCCGCAGAAGAAGCACCGGCUAACUCCGUGCCAGCAGCCGCGGUAAUACGGAGGGUGCAAGCGUUAAUCGGAAUUACUGGGCGUAAAGCGCACGCAGGCGGUCUGUCAAGUCGGAUGUGAAAUCCCCGGGCUCAACCUGGGAACUGCAUUCGAAACUGGCAGGCUAGAGUCUUGUAGAGGGGGGUAGAAUUCCAGGUGUAGCGGUGAAAUGCGUAGAGAUCUGGAGGAAUACCGGUGGCGAAGGCGGCCCCCUGGACAAAGACUGACGCUCAGGUGCGAAAGCGUGGGGAGCAAACAGG